UACGAAGGGGGCGAGCGUUGUUCGGAUUUACUGGGCGUAAAGGGCGCGCAGGCGGCCACAUUUGUCAGGCGUGAAAUCCCCAGGCUUAACCUGGGAACUGCGUCGGAUACUGAUUGGCUUGAAUCCGGGAGAGGGAUGCGGAAUUCCAGGUGUAGCGGUGAAAUGCGUAGAUAUCUGGAGGAACACCGGUGGCGAAGGCGGCAUCCUGGACCGGCAUUGACGCUGAUGAGCGAAAGCCAGGGGAGCAAACGGG
rnacentral:rRNA from 1 species